UAAUGUAGCUGCCUUUAUAUUUACUGGUCCGUAGAAUCCCUCCCAGUGACAGGGCCUAUUCAUAGCGAGUGUGAACGGUCAAUCCGGCCAACUAAAGCUUUCAUAAUGGUCAUAAGGCGGCUGACCAACGGUCUCCACUGUGAAGCACAAAUAGCGGGAUGUCGUCUGUUGGGCCGAGAAUGCGGGCCAAGCAGCGGGUUGAAGCGAUUUACGCAAAUCCGGCUACCGCAAUCGGGAAAAGAUGCUUGUGCCGUUUUCGUCAGCCACUCGCAGAGCAGAGCAAAUUAAGCUAACAGCCGAGCAGCAAACGCUGUUCUCCGUACGGCAGAACUCCAGCCCGUAUGAUCGGCCUAACGUGACCGCCCUAUGGCAAGGACGGGAUUCUGCCUAUCAGGCAUGAACUAAGCGGUCGCGUAGCGGCCACCUCCCCAUUUAUUGCAAUUGCUUCGCAAUUGUAAAAAAGGUUAACUAUCCACAUUUGAUACGACUAGUACUUUUUGCCCAUCCAUUUUUGACUCGUGAAUUUUUUAACAUGUGAAUUUUGACAAUCUUCUCCGUGGAAGCACCUCCUCUUCAUCGCUUCCAUUCAUUAACGAGAGCCACCUGCCCCUGCGCUAUUGCGCAGGGGCUUUUUUUUGUAGAGC
rfam:Brucella melitensis bv. 3 str. Ether cont1.11, whole genome shotgun sequence.